rnacentral:misc_RNA from 1 species
AUAGCUGGUGUAAAGCUCCCAAAAUUUGAACAUUAUUCUGAUGGUGAGACUAAAAAUGAUCUCACAGGGUUAGCUAGGGGUGGACAACAGAUCCAGCUGUGUCGGGGCGCCUAUGUAAAGGCAAUUGAGGUUCUUGUUGAGCUUGCCUCACUCCAGACGUCAUUUUUGACUCUUGAUGAGGCAAUUAAAACCACAAACCGCAGGGUCAACGCUCUAGAGAAUGUUGUGAAGCCAAGGAUCGAGAAUACUAUAAGUUACAUUAAGGGAGAAUUGGACGAGCUGGAAAGGGAAGAUUUCUUUAGACUGAAAAAGAUUCAGGGUUAUAAGAGAAGGGAAAUUGAGAAACAACGUGCCAAUGCUAAGCUAUUUGCUGAGGAACAACUUGCUGAGAAGAUAUCUUUGCAAAAGGGUGUCUCCAUAAGUUCAGCUCACAAUUUAUUGUCUGCAGCUGCUGAG